UACGUAGGGGGCUAGCGUUGUCCGGAUUUAUUGGGCGUAAAGAGCUCGUAGGCGGUUUUGUCACGUCUGCUGUGAAAACUGGAGGCUCAACCUCCAGCCUGCAGUGGGGUACGGGCAGACUAGAGUGCGGUAGGGGGAGAUUGGAAUUCCUGGUGUAGCGGUGGAAUGCGCAGAUAUCAGGAGGAACACCGAUGCGAAGGCAGAUCUC
rnacentral:rRNA from 1 species